CAGAAAUGGGAAAACCCUCGCCACCGCCAGGACGAUGGCGGCCGGCCGGCGUUGCAAGGCGAGCACGCGCAUGGGCGGCGCCGGCGCGCCGGAGAAUGUGCAGUUGCGGACCUGCGCGCGGCGGCGGAGCGAGGGGAGGCGGCGGCCGAAUCGGGCUCUGUACACAGCACCGUGCAAGAUCUGCUGCAAACCCGUGCAAAUAUGAAGCAGAGCACCAAAUCCAGCAGAUGAAAGAGGAGUCGUACCUACGAUAUGAUAUCUGAGCUGGGGAGAAGGAGAACCACCUGGCGAAACAGAUGGCUGCUGCAGUAUCAUUCUGUGUAAGUCAAGCCAAGGCCAAAUGCUGAAUGAUACAAUAUCAAACAUAGGUAUGCAGACAUAAAAAGUUAACGCUCUAAAGCACGCCUA